GCCGCCCUAGCUCAACGGCAGAGCAACACUUUUGUAAAGUGAAGGUUCCCGGUUCAAAUCCGGGGGGCGGCUCCA
rnacentral:tRNA from 2 species